UCCCGCCCUGAUUCCAUCUGUGUGCCAUUAGUUCAGUGUAUAGAGCUGAUGGGUCAAAAGAUGGAUAGAAAAAUUUUGAAGGAAAACAAUUUUUUUUUUUUUUUAUUUUUAUGGUUGUUUAUGCAUAAAAAUAUUUUUGUUCCUCAACAACCGCUCC